rnacentral:rRNA from 1 species
UACGUAGGGGGCAAGCGUUAUCCGGAUUUACUGGGUGUAAAGGGAGCGUAGACGGCAGUGCAAGUCUGGAGUGAAAGGCGGGGGCUCAACCCCCGGACUGCUCUGGAAACUGUACGGCUGGAGUGCAGGAGAGGUAAGUGGAAUUCCUAGUGUAGCGGUGAAAUGCGUAGAUAUUAGGAGGAACACCAGCGGCGAAGGCGGCUUACUGGACUGUAACUGACGUUGAGGCUCGAAAGCGUGGGGAGCAA